UUUAGAAGCUCUUAGACUUGCAGAUCAAAAAGCCAUUGGAAUUAAUUAUCCAAAUCUAAUAAAAAUAGAUGAAAAAAGAUAUUACAGGUAUAUGGGCUCCUUAACAGUACCACCUUGCACUGAAAAUGUUAUUUGGACUAUUGAUGGAAAGGUUAAAACUGUAACCAGAAAACAAAUUCAACUGCUCCGAGAUGUUGUUCAUGAUGGAUUCGAAUACAAUGCCAGACCAAUUCAGCCAUUAAACGGACGUCCUAUCAAAUUCAACAAACCUUGGUCAUUUGCUUGAUUAGGGAGUAUUUAAUAACCUUCCCAUAAUUAAUCUAGUUCUAUCUUUAUUAAUAAAUCGGUAGGGAUCA